GCGACUACAUGGGGCAGCUCAGGUGUUCAUGCCACUACAGGCUCAGGUUAAGGCUAAGGCAUCUAGGCCUCUGCGCAUGCAGAUUAAGGCACCUCCCAGACUAUGGAGGGCAGCCCGGAUGCUCUUGCCGCUACAGUCUCAGGGUAAGAUACUUAGGCCUCUACAGGUACGGGCCUCAGUACUUAAAAUGCAGCAAUCUCAGGGUCAGGCACAGACCCAGGAAUUAAAACAACCACAAGACCUAGACCAGGUGCCAGAGGAAUUUCAAGGGCAAGGUCAGGUACCUGAACAAGUACAAAGACAAGGCCAGGCUGCUGAACAACAACAGAGACAGGACCAGGUUCCUGAACAGCAUCUGGAGCAGAACCAGGAACCUGAACAGCCAGAGGUACAGGAGCAGGCAGAGCCUGCACAAGUAGAGACAGAGGCAGAAGAACCUGAGUCAUUAAGGAUACAUGCCCAGGUGUUCCUGCCCCUACUGUCACAGAGCCACCACGUGCUGUUGCCACUACAUUUGGAUACUCAGGUGCUCAUUCCAGUAGGAAGGCCAACCGAAGGGACACCUCAGGCACACUCCUGGACACUAGAGCCCUCACAGGCAGUUAGCGCAGUUCAAGAACUGAUAGAUGGACUAUCAACACACCUGCUUAGAGCACCAAACUCACAUAACUCAAAGCCACUUGGUCUACUGCAAACCCUGAUGGAAAACCUGUCAUCAGACGUGUUUUACUCUCAACCAGAAGAGUCAGGGAAAAAAAAAUCCAGGGUUUCUAGUCUAAGGCAAGCACUUGCAAAAAGAUUGUCACCAAAGAGGUUUAGGGCAAAGUCAUCACCCGAGGAGCUUGAAUGUUCAUAUGUAGAAGCCCGGAGGCACAGGCGCCGACGCAGAUUGGAAGGCAUCUUAAACGAGCAUGAGGAGAAUUUGAGCCAAUUUGAAAUUGACAAAGAUGAAGAAUCAUCGGACAAUGAUGAAGUAUUUCAUCCAAUUCAGGCAGAAGUCCGAGUAGAACAAAUGCAGCCAAACAUUCCAAAUCCUGUAGAAAAUGAGGUAAAUUUAAUAUACUAUACUGUUAUAAAGUAAACAAAUACAUAGAAUAGUGGUU
rnacentral:lncRNA from 1 species